GGGGCGCGCCCCGGGCGGGGCGGGGGCACGGGGGGAACCGUCGACAGUCAGGCAACGAGCGAGACCCACGCCAACAGUUGCUAGCUCGUCCUCCGGGAUGGAGAGGACACUGUUGGGACCGCCUCUGCUAAAGAGGAGGAAGGAAUGGGCAACGGUAGGUCAGCAUGCCCCGAAUUAACUGGGCUACACGCGGGCUACAAUGGGUGGGACAAUGGGUAUCGACACCGAAAGGUGAAGGCAAUCUCCUAAACCCAUCCUUAGUUCGGAUUGUGGGCUGCAACUCGCCCACAUGAAGCUGGAAUCCGUAGUAAUCGUAUCUCAAUAUGGUACGGUGAAUAUGUCCCUGCUCCUUGCACGAAUUCGCCG
rnacentral:rRNA from 1 species